UACGUAGGGUGCAAGCGUUAAUCGGAAUUACUGGGCGUAAAGCGUGCGCAGGCGGUGAUGUAAGACCGAUGUGAAAUCCCCGGGCUUAACCUGGGAACUGCAUUGGUGACUGCAUUGCUAGAGUAUGGCAGAGGGGGGUGGAAUUCCACGUGUAGCAGUGAAAUGCGUAGAUAUUCGGAAGAACACCGGUGGCGAAGGCGGCUCUCUGGACCGAUACUGACGCUGAGGCGCGAAAGCGUGGGGAGCAAACGGG
rnacentral:rRNA from 1 species